AGUCAGGGGGUGAAGAAGGAGGGACAGCCAGUCACAGAGUAAAACAGAAAACAGUCCUGUGAGCAGCAAAGGACCCAGAGCCAACUAUGUCAUGUCUUAGGAGGAACCAGACCACCCACAGCAAACCCAUGCACGUACAGGGAGAACAUACAGACAAGGCACAGAAAAGUCCCUGUCCAGCCCAGGAUUCAGACCAAGAACCUUCAUGCUGUGAGGCACCAGUGCUAACUUCUGCACCAUCAUGACACCAAGGUAAAACAUACAACUUUUAUUAUUCUUAUCAUCAAAAGUCUGAAAUGUUCAAAUGAUUCCCCUGGUUGUUGAAGGUCUUUACUGUUGUCUUAAUUUAUCUUUAAUUUGUUUUCAUCAGGGAAGAGAAAAUGAGUCCAAAUCAGAGAUGGCCAGAGGAGACAGCGAGAACUUUGAACCAAAAAAAUA